CACUGUAAAGCUAUAUAGCAUUAACCUUUUAAGUUAAAGAUUGAGAGUAUCCCUCUCUACAGUGA
rnacentral:tRNA from 1 species